GUUGACCACGGCAAAGCACCUUUUCAUGGCAGCGUGGAGCUCCGGCUGGCCCCUCUCCCGGGCCAAGAAGACCCCCGGCGUUCUGGAGAAGCAGUUCUGGCGUGACUCAGGGCUCACGAAGGCAUGAAUGACGGACCUGGACAACUUGCUGUGACUGAUGGAACCCUUAUUUCUGCUCUUUACAAGAAAACCCUAGAAGAGAAUGAUUGGUCAUCAACAAGAGACUGCGGACACCUGAGAAAUGAAUUCCAACCCUCUACAUGUAAAGAAAAGCUACCCUACAACAGCAUGCCAGCACGUUUCACUGUGUCAAAGCAUCUCACAGAAGACACAAGGUAGGCGACUCCAGUUUAGAGCAAAACGCAUUCACAC